CUCUGAGAGAAGAGCUGCUGGAGACUCCUGGAUGUCUGGCCCAAAGCUGGAGGCUCUGAAAGGGCUGAGAGAUGAUUUGGAAGAUACCAUUUGACUGCUUUUUACUGACGUGACCAUAUGUCUACCCGGAGAUUGGAGACCUUGGACAGCUGGAGGAUCCAAGAUAACCUCCCUCCUCCUGUCUGGAUUCGCAGAAUAAAACCUUGUCAAAACAACAAAGGAAAAGUGGCCGGACUUCAGUUUAAGAACCCAGACCAAUGAAGACAAGAGAGCUGCUCUUUGUGUGACGCAUUUCCUCACCCAGCCGCAGAUUGCAACAGAGGAGAUGAGAUAAAGAUGAGGAACCUCAACAGAAAGGAUGGAUGUAAACAGUGGGUUUGCUGUGCAGUGACAAGAGCCCAGCUUGGGAAGGGUGUUGAGUGGGGUGAAGAUGUCACAGGAACUCACGAAAGCCAGAGGAGUUCACAGUUCAGAGAAGGUGGGUCUUCUAGCUGCUGAAGGCCACACAGCAACCCUUGUGGACAGUGGGGUCCAUUCUAAGGACCUGUUCGUGAAUCCAACUACUGAAGAGCCUUAACCAGUCUUCCCUCUGGGUUCUUUUCCUUUACAUUCCAUGAGUUGGAGAUGGACCGUCCUAGUGCAGUACUUGGAUGAAUGGCUGGAAUGAAAUGAUGGUGAGUGGCUCUACAUGCAGCUGAGGUAGCCUUAUUUUUCUUUUUCGGGCCACACCUAUGGUGUAUGGAAGUUUCCAGGCUAGGGGUCUAAUCAGAGCUGCCGCUUCCAUCCUAUGCCACAGCCACAGCAAUGUGGGAUCCAAACUAUGUCUUCAACCUCCACCACGGCAAUGCUGGAUCCUUAACACAAUGAGGCCAGGGAUCGAAACCACACCCUCACGGAUAUUAGCUGGGUUCUUUACCACUGAGCCACGACGGCAACUUCCUACACGCAGGUGAGGUUCUGACUGUAAAAAAAGGCUUGGUCAAAAUUGUGAGGAAGAUACUCAUUUUGUCCCACUUCUCCUCAUCUCCAUCAUUUCCACUUCCAUCUUCCAUUCCCCAUCAGUAUGGCUGUGUUUGUCCAUAUCCUCUUCUCUCCAAAAUGUGUCCUAAUUGGUAGAAUCUCAUGUUCUCUGUAUUUCUCUUCUGACUUUCUUGCCCCUACUGAAGUGUGUUCUACUGUCUUAUUCUCUAUUUUCUGGAGGCUAAGUCUGCUUUCUCUCCAUCCCUCUUUCCAUCCAUUUAUACUGUCAUCCAUGCAUCUCUCCCAUCCUCCAACAAACCAUCACCCAACCAUUUGGGCAAGCUAAUUUAAAUUACAGUCCUAAUGGCUUUAAAAGUCUUAGCAUUAAGCCUUCCCCAGUUGAGGGGAUUUCUGGCGUGACAUCAGGCGAAUAGGGUAAAUAUUUGGGGAGGAACAUAUGGUGAAUUUAGCUGUCACAUUCUCUACUGAAUCAUAGAGCUAGUUAGCUUAAAUCUGUUAUGUCAGGAGAAAAGCAAAUUUGAAGGUGAUUCUGCUUAGUCCGAAGCCACCUCUGCCUCAUUGUUGUCACUGCAGAAUGUGAAAUCACCCCAUAGCAGAGGCCACAAAGGCCUAUUGCUGGAAGCCCAGGUCUGUGUGCAGCAGGUGAGGAGGCUUCUGCCAACUGCUGGCCCUCGGUCUUCUUGCUGGCCUCUUUGGAGGGUUUCAGUGGUGGGGCUUCUUCUGUGGUCCGGUACUCGGAUUGUGGGUACAAUCUGCCCUGUCAUCACUUUCACUCUGAUUAGCUUCAUUCGGAAGAACUUUUGAGAGCCUUUUGCAAACCCGGGUCAGCGUGGGAAAACCAGUUCCUCUGUAUGGGACUGAUUUAAUCUCUGUGAGAGGCUGAUCUUGGGGGGAAAAAAUACACGCCUUCUCACGUCAAACACAUAGGACACAUCAGCCCACAGCUGCUCCGGAGGCAUCUCAGGUUUUUCUCUCUGUGCGUCCCUCAGUAUCUUGGGAUGGUUAAGAGGUGUCUAGCUGGCUUGGUCCCCGAUGUAUCAGUCACCGCUGGGCUUGGUGCCACGAAGCUCUGGGUGUAAUCAAACAAUCUGCAGCUUAGUUGGGACAUCCUGCCUGCUUCGGGUGACUCAGAGCUCCUCAGCAGCUGGUUGGAGUUUUGUUUGUGGCAGUGCCGCCUGCUCACUCCACACCCCCAACUCCCUGUAAGCCGCUCCACAGGUGGCCCGACUUGUGGUGCAAAUACAAGUUUGUCAACUGUUGAUUUCUUUUCCCUCUGUGUGUGCGUGUGUGUUUAAACUUAUCUAAACAAAAUUAAGCUGUGGGGAGUCCAUUAAUAAAAGGUUUCUAUUACAAAAUUAUUGGCACUCUGCAAGGCGCUUUGGAGGAAGGCAGGAAGAUCGAUAUUACCUAGAAUAAAAUAGCAGGGCAGACAUGACUCAGGGGAAUUAGGCUCUUAAGUAUGAGAGGGAAUAUAGAUUUCUACCCCGGCAGUCAAUGUUUGAAUAUGAUGAAACAGCGUGUUAGAAUUCAUGGUCGGGCAAUUAUUUGAAAGGUCUUGGGGAGACUCUAAAUGUGCUUUAAAAAAAGAAAAACAACCCCCCCCCCAAUAUCCCUCAGCUAAAGCUUCUCGGAAAUAAAGAGCAAGAUGAGAAACCAAAAAUGUAGAGCCUUUGAUGAAUUCGUGCAGAUAUCGAGGGCCAUAGAAGUGGUAAUCGAACUCUAUUUGCUUGUGGGGGAAGGAGUUGGGAGGGAACAAGGAGACCUGUCAUUUUGUAGAACAGGGAGGCUGUUGAGAAGCCAUUCCUCAUCUUUAAAACUCGUGCCUUCACUCUGCUCUUGGAAGCUUUGUGGAGACGGGUGGGGAGCACAGUGGAUUGUUACUCCGAGAGGAUCAAUUUAAUCGGAUGUAGUUUCCUCUCCAUCUCUGUCCUGCAAGCCAAUUAACCUUCUGGCUAGGGAAAUGCUGCUGGCAGCUUAAGGGCCAUUGCUGGAGCAGCGCCUGCCCUAGGUACCAUUUGCAAAUUGCUGAGAAAGGGAUUUCUGGAGGGCUCCAGGGAGGAGGGGAAGACUGUUCAGCUACAAAUAUGGCAGGACAUCAAUUCUAAGGACCGAGGAAUGGCUGUGCAUUGUCAGGGAGGGUGAGCAAGAAAAAGAGGUAGAAAAAAGAGAACCUCCAGGUUAGGAAAGGGGAAGGCAGGGAAAGAAGGAGAGAGAGAAGGAGGGAAUGAGAGAAGAAGCGGAGGAGGGGGGCAAGAGAGAGAGGGAGAGAAUGAAUGAGGAAAGGGAAGGCAGGAGGGAGAGACGAGAUGGUAGCCCAUCCUCAGUAUGGGGUGGGGAGGAUUGGUUCCAGGACACCCUCAGAUACCAAAAUCCUUGGAUGCUCAAGCCCUUUUAUGACAUAGUGUUUGUGUAUAAUUGACACACAUCCUUCCAUAUACUUUAAAUCAUCUUUAAAUCAUCUUAUUAUAGCUAAUACAACUAUGUAAGUAGUUGCCUACAAAGAGUAAAUUCAAGUUUUGCUUUUUGGAACUUUGCAAUUUUUAAAAAAUAUUUUCGAUUUGCAAUUGGUUGAAUCCAGCGAUGAGAGACCUGCAGAUACAGAGGGCCGGCUGACUGUAUAAUGCUUAUAGCUGCUGACUUUAAUCUUUAACAGUAAAUAGUUGAAGGGAUCAUGCACCCAAGCUAGCUUUCCCCAAAGUGUAUUCAGAGGAGGGCUCGUGAAGUGUGGUGUUAUUUGGUGUUUAAGGGGGAAUAUUUUGGGGUUUAUUUUAAUGGAGGAGAGAUGUCCUAUGGUCUCAGCUAUUUGGGAAAUGUUUGGUUCAACAGAUUUCUUUAGUGCAUUCCUUCUCAGAGCCUUUAAUAAGCUAAAGUGAGUUAUGGAGCUUCAUUAUGAGCCCAUGCUAGGUGGCCCCCCUCAGAUUAUUUUGUUGGGGAAUUAUUUAUUCAAGGAUGAUAUUCUGGAUCAGGAAUUCUGAGAAAAAGUGUUUUGGAAAUAAUGGUCUAGGCGUUUGCUCUGCUUGCAGUCAACAAUGAGCCAUUUCCAUGCUGGUUCUAUCUUCAAGCUGGACAAACCCCUGUCUUCAUCCUUUGGUUGGGGUCCAAAAGCUUCCUACUGGGGCACAUUCCAGAGCAGUUUCCAUGACACCAGCCCUCCAUUCACUCAUUUAUUGAUAUACUCAUUCACCCAAGCUCGUCCUUGUUUGCUCUUGUGCUGCUGAUUCUGACUCUGAACACUUAUUUUUGUCCUCAGCCUUAGACCCCCAGGCCUGACUCCCAUCCAUGCAGAGUUGGAAACAUCUUGGUCCUUCUGGCAUUUUGACAUUCAGUGCUGCUGUAUAAUCUUGUGUAUGUUCUUUGGCUUUGCCUUCUCCUCUGAAUUCAUUGUCUGCAAUUGUCUUCAAGGUCAACACAAUAGGCCAGUGCAGCCCCCCAACUCUUGCUCAGUCUUCUCAGCUAGAAUCAGCUGAAACCCUGACCUCCUGCUCUUGAAAGCAUGGAUUUGAGUCCCGUUCAUUCUUGGAGCCUUUCCCAGUGUCUCAAAUACUCCCAGAGUCAGAAGGUUUUUGCUGUAGUGACCUAAAUAUUUCUUCCAAUUGAUGAGUCAGUUACUUCCUCUUAUUUUUCUGUAAGAGCAAUGGAGAGUGAAGGGGCAUCACGCAUGUCAGUGCUGGGGGCUUACUAAAGUGCCUUUCUUCUUUCUGGAAAAGGGUAGCUCCCAGCCAGGUGUAGCCUCUCAGAAGCACUCUGAGGACCCCCCCAAGGGUAGAAAGGAGCUAACAAAUUCUUUUCUGGCCCUAUCCUCACCUCCCCCAAUGGUUUCAUUUAAAUAGUGACAGCCCUCAGAAUCCCCAUCCUUGAGUGAACUUCAUUUCGAGACAUAGCACCAUGGACAUGUGUCCAUGGAGAUAGUCCCACUUGCAGGUCUAGGAGAUGUUGGCUCAGAUGUCUUCCUUUGGGGUUGACACAUUGCUUCCUCUGGAGACUCACAAGGUACAGUUCUCCCUGGUCUUUAUUCCACUUGUUUUAUGGAAGAAAAAUGUGGAAGAAAAAUUAUUGCUACCCAGAAGCUCGGGGUCAACAAAUAAAGGAACUGAAGGACUCAAGAUUCCCUCAUACUGCAUCCAUGGAGUCUGGAAGGGGUUAGACAGUCAUUAACCAAUAUUAGCCUCAUCUUAGAUCCAUUUUCUUUCACUUUCUUCAAAUGGCAUUCUUUAUCCCACCAACCAGUGGGAUCAAGCAGGAGCAUAUAAUAUGGGGAGCAUGUGCAUCUUUCUGUCUCCAAAAUUAAUAAGAAAAUAAGCAGUGGAAAGGGAGGGCAUGAAGAAAUUAUGUUUUCAGAUAGUUAAUUUACCCAAACUGCAACUUCUAUCCAUUUAUUAUAGACAUUUUGGAAAAAUACAAAGACAUAGAAGGAAAACUUGUCUAGAAAGAUAGGUGCUGAAAAUUUCACUCUGAUGUCAGCCACUCAAAUGGUUGUAUUUUUUUUUUCUUGAGUUACUGCUUGCUUUUUACCCACAAACAGAAUAGAUCUUUUUUUUACCGCCUUGGCUGUGCCAAGGGCAUGUGGAAGUUCUGGGACCAAGGAUCGAACCAGAGCCACAGCAGUGGCUUACCCUAUAGUGGUUAACACCAGAUCCUUAACUGCUAGGCCACCAGGGAAUUCCAUCAUAGUAGAUCUUGUAUCUAAUCAUAUCUCCAACUUUUCCCCCAUUUCUAGAAAACUCUGCCCUGUUUAUUCAUGGAGUAACAAACAAUUCAUUGACCACUGCUUAUGGAAUGCCUGCCAUGUGCCAGGAACUCUCUGAGGCCUUGUGGGUACAUCAGUGAGUAAACCAGACAUGGGGCUGCUGGUCAUACACACCAUUCCUAGGUGCUAUUGUCUGAUGGAUGUCAACAGGUAUUCAUACGACUUAUUGAGCAUACAGCUAGUCUUGUGUUAACAGUUUGCAGGAAAAUUUAAUUCCUUUCAUUCUGUAUGUGGAUCCUCUCAGAGUUUUUCCUUCUCCCCAUUCCACUGAGGAAGGCCAGGGAUCGAACCCUCAACCUCAUGGUUCCUAGUCGGAUUCGUUAACCACUGAGCUACGGCGGGAACUCAAUGUACCACAUCUUCUUGAUCCACUCCUCUGUCGAUGGACAUUUAGGUUGUUUCCAUGUCUUGGCUAUUGUAAAUAGUGCUGCAAUGAACAUUGGAGUACAUGUAUCUUUUUGAAUUAUGGUUUUCUCUGGACAGAUGCCCAGGAGUGGGAUUGCUGGAUCAAAUGGUAGUUCUAUUUUUAGUUUUCUGAGGAAUCUCCAUACUGAUUUCCAUAGCGGUUACACCAAUUUACAAUCCCACCAACAGUGUAAUAGUGUUCCUUUUUCUCCACACCCUCUGUAGCACUUAUUGUUUGUAGACUUUUGGAUGAUGGCCAUUCUGGCUGGUGUAAGGUGGUACCUCAUCGUGGUUUUGAUUUGCAUUUCUCUACUAAUGAGUGAUGUUGAACAUCUUUUCAUGUAUUUUUUGGCCAUCUGUAUGUCUUCUUUGGAGAACUAUCUGUUUCGCUCUUCUGCCCAUUUUUUGAUAGGGUUGUUUGUUUUUUUGGUAUUGAGUGGUAGGGGGUGUUUAUAAAUUUUUGAGAUGAAUCCCUUGUCAGUCGAUUCAUCUGCAAAGAUUUUCUCCCAUUCUGUGGGUUGUGUUUGUGUUUUGUUUAGGGUUUCCUUUGCUGUGCAGAAACUUUUAAGUUUGAUUAGGUCCCAUUUGUUUAUUUUUGUUUUUUACUGUCAUUACUCUGAGAGGUGGAUCUAAGAAGCUGUUGCUGCGGUUUGUGUCAGAGAGCGUUUGACCUAUGUUUUUCUCUAAUAAGAGUUUUAUAGUAUCUGGUCUUAUAUCUAGGUCUUUAAUCCAUUUUGGUAAACUGCUCACAUUUAAAGUGAACAGUUGGAUAUGUUUUGACAUGGAUAUCACCCAUAAAAGCUCCCCUUGUGGCUGAAGUUGGUAGGAGGGGUGGAGGGGCGCUUGCUGUAGGCUUCCUGAUAGGAGGGACUGAUGCCUGCCCACUGGUGGGUGGAGCUGAUUCCUAUCCCUCUGGUAGGUGGGGCUUUGUCUCUGGGUGCGAUUAGAGGUGGCUCUGUGCCUGGGGGGUCUUUAGGCAGCCUGUUUACUGAGGGGCGGGGCUGUGAUCCCACCUGUAUUGUUUGACCUGGGGCUUCUCGGUGCUGAUGGGUGGGGCCAGAUUUUCCCAAAAUGGCCACCUCCAGAGAAACUCAUGCUGAUGAAUAUUCCCAAGAGCUUUGCUUUCAAUGUCCUUCCCUCACAACAAGCCACGUUCACCCCUGUUUUCCCAGGAUGUCCUCCAAGAACUGCAGUCAGUUCUGACCCACAUUCCUAUGGUCACUUUGCUUUGCCCUGGGACCCUGUGCAUGUGAAAGUCUGUGUGUGCCUUGUAAGAAUGGGGUCUCCAUUUCCCCCAGUCCGGUGGAGCUCCUGCACAUAAGCCCCACUGGCCUUCAAUGCCAGAUGCUCCGGGGGCGCUUUCUCUCAGUGCCAGAUCCCCAUGGAUCUGGGGGUUUAAUGUGGGGCUCAGAACUCUCACUCCUGUAGGUGAGUCUCUGUGAUACAGUGACUUUCCAGUCUGUGGGGCUUCCCACCUGGGAGGUAUGGGGUUGCUUAUGUCACGUAAUCACCCCUCCUACCUCUUGAUGUGGCCUCCUCUUUGUCUUCUGUAGUAGGAUAUCUUUUUUAAGGUUUCUGGUCCAUUUGGUUGAAGAUUGCUCAGCAUUUGGUUGUAAAUUUUGUUGUUUUUUUAAGAGAGAAGUUGAGCUCCAGUCCUUCUAUUCUGCCAUCUUAAUCCCAUAUCUCUUCUCAUCUUUUAUGGAGGCCUCUGUGCAUUGUCUCUCACACGUUAUUGUGGCCGGGGUCCCAGAGGAGCAAGAGAGAGAGCAGCAUGGUUGGAGGAGACAGAGGUGGGAACUAAGAAGGGGACAGGAGGGGCUGGCUGAGAUGGUGGGGAUCUGCCCCUUCUCCCUGAAGGGGUUGGAGGGAAAGUCAAAGAGGAGGAGCCCAGGUACCUGUGCUCCCAGCAACAGCAAAGGUCUUCAUGCCCACCUGCUCAAGAGAGCGCUGAGCAGCCAGACUCAAGAGACCAUGAAGACCUUGUUUGUGGAGUGAUGUCUGUGGGGUCCCUGAUGUUUCUCUGAUGUUUCAUGAUUCAUGAGGUCUUUGGAGCCUUUGCAGAACUGAUCUAGGCUACUCUGAUCACAUACUAGUCUUAAUUCUUUUAUAAACGUAAUAGUAGCCAGCAUAAACUCAUUACUAGAUUAGAAUAGAAUUAAAUUCAGAUCAAAUGUUGCCAUAUAGCCAUAAUUGAACUACCAUUUAUUAUUAUUAUUAUCAUUAUUAUUAUUUUAACUUUUGAAAGAAGAUUUUAUUAAUUUAAGCACUAAAAAUAGAAUCAUAACUUUGGAAGGGAUGUAAAUCUCCCAUACCUUUAGGAUAGUGAGAAAAAGAAAGAAAAAAAAAAAA
rnacentral:lncRNA from 1 species